rnacentral:rRNA from 1 species
GUCCACGCCCUAAACGAUGUCAACUGGAUGUUGGAGGGGUUAAACCCUUUAGUGUCGUAGCUAACGCGAGAAGUUGACCGCCUGGGGAGUACGGCCGCAAGGCUAAAACUCAAAGGAAUUGACGGGGACCCGCACAAGCGGUGGAUGAUGUGGAUUAAUUCGAUGCAACGCGAAAAACCUUACCUACCCUUGACAUGUCAGGAAUCCUGGAGAGAUCUGGGAGUGCUCGAAAGAGAGCCUGAACACAGGUGCUGCAUGGCUGUCGU